GUGUCAGCAGCCGCGGUAAUACGUAGGUGGCAAGCGUUGUCCGGAUUUAUUGGGCGUAAAGGGAGCGCAGGUGGUGGCUUAAGUCUGAUGUGAAAGCCCCCGGCUCAACCGGGGAGGGUCAUUGGAAACUGGGGAACUUGAGUGCAGAAGAGGAGAGUGGAAUUCCAUGUGUAGCGGUGAAAUGCGUAGAUAUAUGGAGGAACACCAGUGGCGAAAGCGGCUCUCUGGCUUGUAACUGACGCUGAGGCUCGAAAGCGUGGGGAGCAAACAGGAUUAGAUACCCGAGUAGUCC
rnacentral:rRNA from 2 species